GCCGAAGUGGCGGAAUUGGCAGACGCGCUAGGUUCAGGACCUAGUGGGAGUUACUCCCUUGUGGGUUCGAGUCCCACCUUCGGCACCA
rnacentral:tRNA from 1 species